rnacentral:rRNA from 1 species
AGUGAACGCUGGCGGUAGGCCUAACACAUGCAAGUCGAACGGCAGCACAGUAAGAGCUUGCUCUUACGGGUGGCGAGUGGCGGACGGGUGAGGAAUACAUCGGAAUCUACUUUUUCGUGGGGGAUAACGUAGGGAAACUUACGCUAAUACCGCAUACGACCUACGGGUGAAAGCAGGGGAUCUUCGGACCUUGCGCGAUUGAAUGAGCCGAUGUCGGAUUAGCUAGUUGGCGGGGUAAAGGCCCACCAAGGCGACGAUCCGUAGCUGGUCUGAGAGGAUGAUCAGCCACACUGGAACUGAGACACGGUCCAGACUCCUACGGGAGGCAGCAGUGGGGAAUAUUGGACAAAGGGCGCAAGCCUGAUCCAGCCAUACCGCGUGGGUGAAGAAGGCCUUUGGGUUGUAAAGCCCUUUUGUUGGGAAAGAAAAGCAGCAGGUUAAUACCCCGCUGUUCUGACGGUACCCAAAGAAUAAGCACCGGCUAACUUCGUG